rnacentral:rRNA from 1 species
AUUGAACGCCGGCGGCAGGCUUAACACAUGCAAGUCGAGCGGGGAAAAGUAGCUUGCUACUGGACCUAGCGGCGGACGGGUGAGUAAUGCUUAGGAAUCUGCCUAUUAGUGGGGGACAACAUCUCGAAAGGGAUGCUAAUACCGCAUACGUCCUACGGGAGAAAGCAGGGGACCUUCGGGCCUUGCGCUAAUAGAUGAGCCUAAGUCGGAUUAGCUAGUUGGUGGGGUAAAGGCCUACCAAGGCGACGAUCUGUAGCGGGUCUGAGAGGAUGAUCCGCCACACUGGGACUGAGACACGGCCCAGACUCCUACGGGAGGCAGCAGUGGGGAAUAUUGGACAAUGGGGGGAACCCUGAUCCAGCCAUGCCGCGUGUGUGAAGAAGGCCUUUUGGUUGUAAAGCACUUUAAGCGAGGAGGAGGCUACUGGUAUUAAUACUACCGGAUAGUGGACGUUACUCGCAGAAUAAGCACCGGCUAACUCUGUGCCAGCCGCCGCCGUAACAC